GCUCAAGGGAAGCGAUUCAGCACAGACGACGGUAGCCGC
rnacentral:SRP_RNA from 1 species